rnacentral:rRNA from 1 species
AGUGAACGCUGGCGGUAGGCCUAACACAUGCAAGUCGAACGGAAGCACAGUAAGAGCUUGCUCUUACGGGUGGCGAGUGGCGGACGGGUGAGGAAUACAUCGGAAUCUACUUUUUCGUGGGGGAUAACGUAGGGAAACUUACGCUAAUACCGCAUACGACCUACGGGUGAAAGCAGGGGAUCUUCGGAUCUUGCGCGAUUGAAUGAGCCGAUGUCGGAUUAGCUAGUUGGCGGGGUAAAGGCCCACCAAGGCGACGAUCCGUAGCUGGUCUGAGAGGAUGAUCAGCCACACUGGAACUGAGACACGGUCCAGACUCCUACGGGAGGCAGCAGUGGGGAAUAUUGGACAAUGGGCGCAAGCCUGAUCCAGCCAUACCGCGUGGGUGAAGAAGGCCUUCGGGUUGUAAAGCCCUUUUGUUGGGAAAGAAAAGCAGCAGGUUAAUACCCCGCUGUUCUGACGGUACCCAAAGAAUAAGCACCGGCUAACUUCGUG